UGCAUGAUCUUUAUAUAUUUUAUGCAAUAUCUACUGCAUUUGGUGCACUUUUUAUAACACGUCAUACAAUAGAUGUUACUUAACAGUAACUCAUAUAUAUAUACAAUUAUAAGAAGGAACCUAGCAUUGAAUAGAUGAAAAUUUCAAAGCACAAAUAAAUUGUAAUGAGGAAUUUGAUCCAAAGCAAUGACAAAUAUUGCUCUCAUUACCUCUGUGUAUAUUUUGUUACCCU
rnacentral:lncRNA from 1 species